AAAAAAAGAAAAGGAAAAAAAAAAAUCACCAUCAGUUCGACUCUUUUGUUCUUUACAGCUCAAAAUCAGAGAUAAAAAGACAAUAACCACACAAAGCCAGACAUCACAGACGUCUUUGUGCAUGGAGGGCAGCGCCGUGCAGCCGCUACCUCACCAGCGGUGUCUGUCACCGACUGCUCUAUUCAGCAGCUCAGUGCUGAGGACAAAGCAGGAUUCAACACAACAGAGACGUUCACACAAUGCAGCUGUACCUGGUGCUGUGCGCCUCUCACACAAACGGCUGCUACUAUUCAUAGAAAGAAGAAACAUGACACACACACACACACAAUUUUGGAAUCAGAGGUGAAUAAAAGAAAAUACUGCUUGUGUUAUUUAAAAGGUGUGUGAGUAAAGCUGGCGUCCGCACAGAGAUGCGAGGGAAAUCUUUCUCUCCUUUACCUGUCAAUGUGAAUAUAAAAGCAUUUAGCUGCGAACCUUUCAUGUAAACCGUUGCCAUGGCAACAGCUCUUCAUUUCAUCACGGCAAACCUCGGGCGGGGGAGAGAGAGCUAGCGGGCCGAGUUGGUGGGAGGAUUCCUCUGCAGAGGAUGGUUAGUGUGUCGAGUGGAGGUUUAACCGCCUCUGAUGCAACAAGCUGCACAGCCGAGGCAACUUCAGAGCAUGUAGCCGAGUCAGGGAGUCUAACACUGUGACCCAAAUACUGAGACUGCAACGGGAGGCUAGUUUAAAGCACAUGGAAGGUUAGCAUGUGAUCAGUAAUGCAGAGGUGACACUCCAGCACAGUAAUCACAGCAGCUGCAACAUUCCUUAAAAUUUGUUUGUCAGCACCUGCACUCAGCCCAUCUAAAACAAGCCUGAGUUACCGCAGAAAUGUGUCUAACUGGCAACAUGGCUCUCAGGAAGUAACUUGCUACAAGCCAAGUGUGGCCGAAAAGAUGUGCUGUAAUGAAAUUCACAAGUAUCGAGCUCUGGCUGCUACACCAAGACUUGAACAGAGUAGCUUUGCAUGAGUCACAGUUCAAAAUAAUCCUCAUUUUUAUCUGAUUCCUCUCUCUGAAACAAGACAAGAGGUUAGCUCUCCUGACACAAGCAAAGAUUAAAAGCAGGUGGCUUCUGUGCCUGAGAUGACCAAUUCAUGAUGUUUCCUGCUGAUGUCAUCAUAAAGAUGAGGAAAACCUAACAGUGGGAUCAGGCUAUUUGAUCUUCUUGAUUAAACCACAAUUUGUUCUGUUAGAUGCUCACAAUAACCUAAAGUUCAAAGUGACAUCUGAUUGCCAACUGGUUGUAUUUCCGUAUCAAAGCCACGCUGCACCAUGUCAUUUAGCAGUUAAAUUGUCAUCCUGCAGCAACUACGUCACUAUUUGUGGAGGACUUCCUGUUUCAGAUUUGUGAGUUGGGCUGGUCUCUGAAUUCAAGUCGUGAAUGUGAAUUUCUGUGCAUGCAGAUUUGUAAUUUUUGCCAGUUUAGUGCAAUUAAUCGCUGUAUUUCAACAAUGAGGUCAAGUUGUCAUGCAGUUCCCAACCCUUAUCGACCUGUUGUUGUUGUUUUAUGGCGGUCUUGACACGCCAACGUUGCUUUGAAGACGGCAGCUGAGUACGAGUGGUUUCAGACAUGGUCCCCGUCUUCAAAAUGACCAUUUCAAAAGGCAACACGAUCGCAAGUUCAGUGCACACAGUAGCAACAACUUGGCCUCCAACAACUGGUUUCCUUUGCAUGACUGUAGCAUCAGGAUAUGUCAGACUCUGAAUGUGAAGCCGAAGCUUACUUGAUUGGGCGUUAUAGUCGUAUCAAACAUGGUGACCUAGAGACUGGCACCAUAAAUUCAGCAGGAAAAGUGUUUAGAAGAGAUCAACUGACUGACAUCCAGACAACUGGACCCCCUUUUGCAACCAGGUGUUGAUGCUGGCUGGUCACUAGAAAGAAAACAGAUUUAAGGCAGUUUUCAUUAGCACCAAACAUGAAAGUAUUUGCAUUGGCAAACCUAAACUUUGACUUAAUGAUGGCAUGAUACCAUUAGAGACUUGCUGAAACUGGAUAAGGAGGCGGGGGAUGCUUUUGCACAAAGAACAGGCAUACAUGCAGGCUUUAAAUCUUGCCUCCUUUCUUUAUUAAUUGAUUUAAUCAAAAACACGACUGUCACGGUAAAUUUUUGGAUUGCGUUGGUGAAUCUCCACUCUGAGCAUCUAACAAGAUUAAAUUCAAUGUUGCUUUUUCUGCAAGCUUUGCGGUUACAGUGUGAAGAUUAGCCUUUCUACACCAACAGCCGGCCCUUGAUGGAAGCAAAAAUGCAGAGUCACCUGUCGAUAAACUCCAGACACGAAAUCCAUUUUUACAGACCCAUGAGAUCUUUUCCUGUUGCUCAGUAUUGCUAAGCAACGCCUGUAAUUAUGACAGACACGCAGGUCAGCUGACCCGGGCCUGAUCUGCCUAAGAAGUGCCGACGGACUGCUGAGCCCUGCAGUGCACGGAUGAAGGUGAGCCGACCUCAGACUGAUCACCGUGACCACAGAGUACUUAGGAAGCAUUAGUGAGGUGACUGCUUAUCUUACUGGCUUUAAAAAGUGGAUCAUUUAAAAAGAGUGCUAGUGACUAUGCUGCCAGCCGCUUCCAUUCAUCUCCAGACCUGCUGAGAUUUUACCUCUCACAGAAAAUGUCUCCUGCUUCUUAAGCUGAUUAAACAAAUGCAGUGUCAUGUUACACUUGUGCUCUAGCACACUACUGCUGCGUCUUUGCAUAUCAUUCCAAACACCCCCCGUUUGACCAUCACAGGUUUAUCUGAACAAGUUUGAGGGGUGAGAUACAUUUUUUUUUAAACAGGAUUUAGGUAAAAAUGUCAUGUCCCUGCCUUCAUCAGCUUUCAUAUUGGUAAAA